rnacentral:rRNA from 1 species
GCCUACGGGCGGCUGCAGUAGGGAAUUUUGGUCAAUGGGGGAAACCCUGAACCAGCGACGCCGCGUGGGUGAUGAAAUCCUUCGGGAUGUAAAACCCUUUUCAUUGGGACGAAACAAAGAUGACGGUACCAGUGGAAUAAGCCUCGGCUAACUCCGUGCCAGCAGCCGCGGUAAGACGGGGGAGGCAAGCGUUGUCCGGAAUCACUGGGUGUAAAGGGCGUGUAGGCGGGCCUUUAAGUCGAUUGUGAAAUUUCUCGGCUGAACCGGGAAACUGCAGUCGAUACUAUUGGCCUUGAGUGCGGAAGGGGAGAAUGGAAUUCCUGGUGUAGCGGUGAAAUGCGUAGAUAUCAGGAGGAACACCGGUGGCGAAGGCGAUUCUCUGGUCCUGCACUGACGCUAAGGCGCGAAAGCAAGGGGAGCAAACAGAAUUAGAUACCCCAGUAGUC